GAUGAACGCUGGCGGCGUGCCUAAUACAUGCGAGUCGAGCGAACAGACGAGGAGCUUGCUCCUCUGACGUUAGCGGCGGACGGGUGAGUAACACGUGGAUAACCUACCUAUAAGACUGGGAUAACUUCGGGAAACCGGAGCUAAUACCGGAUAAUAUAUUGAACCGCAUGGUUCAAUAGUGAAAGACGGUUUUGCUGUCACUUAUAGAUGGAUCCGCGCCGCAUUAGCUAGUUGGUAAGGUAACGGCUUACCAAGGCGACGAUGCGUAGCCGACCUGAGAGGGUGAUCGGCCACACUGGAACUGGGACACGGUCCAGACUCCUACGGGAGGCAGCCGUAGGGAAUCUUCCGCAAUGGGCGAAAGCCUGACGGAGCAACGCCGCGUGAGUGAUGAAGGUCUUCGGAUCGUAAAACUCUGUUAUUAGGGAAGAACAAAUGUGUAAGUAACUAUGCACGUCUUGACGGUACCUAAUCAGAAAGCCACGGCUAACUACGUG
rnacentral:rRNA from 1 species